GGCAAGGUAGCUCAGCUGGUUAGAGCACAGCACUCAUAAUGCUGGGGUCGGCGGUUCGAUCCCGCCCCUUGCUACCA
rnacentral:tRNA from 1 species